GAAGCAGAGGGUGGAAUGCAUGCUUUGAAGGUGGAGCCACCUGCUUUGUAGGGGUCCUGUAGCAUCUGGAAAAGACAAGGACUCAGAUUCUCCCUCAGAACCCCCUGGAGGAACCAAGCUCUACUGACACCUUGAUUUUAGACGUCGGACCUCUGGAACGCUCCCUACUGUGAUUCUCAUCAAGCUGGAAGCGUGUGAGAAAGCACUUCAGUUUCUUCCCUCGGAUAUGAACCUGAGCUCUCUGAUGAGGUGGUUUAGAAGUGGCCCUGGGAGAAGCCCACUUCUUGGUCACAAGAUACUGCAUUCUCCUGGCAGAUGAACCAGCUGCUUCCAGCAUCCUCUGUGUGGGUCCUCACGCCUAGCUGCUCUACGUGCUGGCUGCACAGUGGCAUCACAUGGGGAAGUAGAAAAACCUCUGAUGCCUGUCCCCACCCGGCUUAAUCACAGUGAAGUCAGAUUAUCUGGGCCUGGGACCCUACCAUCAUUUUUUUUAAAGAAUUGCAGGGGCCAGGCGUGGCGGCUCAGAGCUUCUAGCACACUCAGAAUAACAUGUUGCUUUAAUCCCCUCUCUUGGAGCGGUUCCAAGUUGUUUGGUUUUAUACACGCUCAGCCCUGAAAGGGGACUCAUACUGGGCUCAUUUCUUUCCCCUCAAUUCAUCAGCCCCUCUCUGGAAACAUCUUUGCAUCUCCCAACCAGCAGGAGAGAGGAUUCCAAGCCAAGCAGGCCUCCUUUUAUCAAAACUGGAGCCUUUUCCAUCCUCUGGCCUUGACGUGUUCCACGUUUCAUUUGCUGAAAUUACUGGCAGGUUUAUCCACACUAACAAGAGCUCUUAAUAGCUUAUCUCCUCAGACAGCUACAGGGACAACCUCAGAAGCCAUGUCUGCCCCGACCCAGGCCCACAUAGAAAAUCCACUUACCUCAUUUGGGAUUUGCUUCUCCUGACACACCGCAUUCUUGCUGGGCUUACUAUAGGCAUAGUUUCAUUUUUAAAAUUUGGGAUAAUUAAAGAACAUACAAUGGUGUUUAAAAAAUCAUUUCCACACUCUGAGCUGUAGUAAUAAUAAUAAUACCGCAAUGAUACUCUCUUUAUUGCAUGCCUGCUAGGACAACAGAGUUGGGAGGAGGUGAGAAUCUCUGCUUUUCUGAUUUAUUUAUGCAGAUAACCUGCAGUAGGCUAAAUGGCAGCCCCCAGAGAGAUAGUAAGUAUGUCUGCUUUCAAACUGAAUCACUGGAAAAAGACUGAUUAAGGAUCUUGAGAGGAGGCAUUUGUUCUGGAUUAUCCAGAUGGGAACUAAAUGCAAUCCAUGUAUCCUUAAAAGAGAGAAGCAGAGACCAGGACAGAGAGAAGAGGAAGGUAAGAAGACGGAGGCAGAGACCGGAGUGAUGCGGCCACAAGCCAAGGAACGCCAGAGCUACUAGAAGGUGGAAGAGACAAGACACACAUCUUCCCUAGUGUGCCUGGAGGGAGGGCAGCCCUGCUAGAUUUACAACUUCUGGCCACCAGAACUUUGAAAUGAAUCUGCUGUGUUAAGCCCUGUAGUCUGUGAUAAUUUGUUAUAGCAGUCCCAGGAAGAAAAGAUAUAACCAGACUUCCCUUAUACCUAUUAGAAGCAUGAAAUGCACAGGUACAUGAGAAAACAACUUUGGUAGACCUGUGUAUGUUGGCAAACACAAAUAAUCCAUUCAUUCCAGAUACUUACUGAGCAUCUAUUAGGUGACAGACACAGUUCUAGGUGCUGAGGAUAUAGUCAGCAGAGAACACAACAAAGAUGCGUGCCCGCCUGGAGCUGACAUUUCAAUGAAGGAGAAAUCAACAAAAUAAAUAAAACACGGAGGAGGGUGGAUGGUGGUAGAAGGUGCUACAGAGAGUGAGAAAACAAAAAAGAGGGACCCGGGGGUCAGGGAAGGGGUACUGGAGUAGACUGGAGUAGAGGCUUGAAGGUGGUGAGGGCAUGAGGUUUGUGUCUACCUGAGGGCAGACAGGUAGAAAAAGGAAAAUAGGGACUGGGCACAGUGGCUUACGCCUGUAAUCCCAGCACUUUGGGAGGCCAAGGUGGGUGGAUCACUUGAGGUCAGGAGUUCGAGAGGUUUAUGGUUGCCUCUGCCCAUAAGCGUCGGAACCUCACCUGUCUUGAUUACGAUACAGCUCAUGCUCAGUCCCCAGCGCCUAUGAACAGUAGGUACACAGGUAGUGAAAUGAAUGAACAUCCUCCAGAGAACAGGAGGAGCUGCACAGUUCUCAUCUGUUCUCAAUGAGUCCCUUUCUGUCACCCUCUCCUCUCCUUUGCCAGUCACCCUAUAACCCUUCAUGACAAGGCUCUGUUAGCGUACAAGUGCUCAUGACCCACGUCAGCUGGGGUCAUCUUAUUUUUGGAAAUUCAAACGAAAUGGGCUUGAAUCUUGUCUCACAUGCCAGGGAAGACCCAACUAUCCUCGGAUUCUUUCCAGGGAUUGGAGGUGAGGGGCGCACUUCUGUCUCACCCAGACACCUGAGGCUCUAUAAAUUCCUGCGUCCCCUUAAUCAGUUCUGCUUGGGCACCUUUUUGCUGGCCUCAGGAGAAGGCUAGCCGUCAUAGCCAUCGGAGGCAUGGAACGUGUGCAGUGACACAAGCCCAUGCUGUUGCUGUCUUCAACUUUAUAAUAAUUUUUGAACAAAGGGCUUCCCGUUUUCAUUUUGCCCCGAUUCACUGGCUUCAUGUUAAAACUAUUAACUGAACAUCUAACACAGACCAGGCCCUGAGGAUACAGCAAUGAAGGAGUGAUGCCCUCUGCCCUUAGCAACUGCCCCGCCUGCCUUUUAAUGUUGGCAAUUCAGCCCCAUAAGGAGUCUUCACAUUCUCCCAGGAUCUCAGUCCUACUACAAAACACCAUCCUGAUGACUUGGAAGGUGACUGUGGGCCUGGCUGUGUGAUAUAUGGCUGGUAGGAGUUAAGAGUGACAGCUCUGGAGUACUUUAGAUCAGGGCAGGAUUGGCUACAUAAUUUGCAAAAUGAAAAUGUGAGGCCCCUUGUUCCAAAGUUAGUAAGGCUGGAGCAAAAUUGUUAAGGUGGCACUAUCACAGCUCACUGCAGCCUGGACAUCCUGGGCUCAAGCCAACCUACCCCCUCAGCCUCCUGAGUAGCUGGGACUACCGGGGCGUGCCACCAUGCCUGGGUCAUUUUUUUGUUUUUGUUUUUAAAGAAAUGAGAGUGUGGCUAUGUUGCCCAGGCUGGUCUGCAACCCCUGGUCUCAAGCAAUUCCCAUGCCUUGGCCUCAAAGCAGUCAACUAAGCGUGGGUCCCAGCCCCUGGAAACCAGCCCUGCAUCUGAGGUCACACUGCUUGCCUGCUGGUUAACCUUAAAUACCUCUUUUUUUUUCCUUAUUGGUUGAGGGGGGUGUGUAGGAGGGUGGUGGGAAGGAUCUGAAAAGAAGCUGUGAUUCUUUGCUGAAUUAAUGAUGACUUCUCACUGCAAAAUGCUGAUUUAUAAUCUCUUCACCAUACUAGACUGUUUCCAGACUCAGAGGGGGGUUAAAGUUUGUUAAAUGUAUUCAUAAUUACAUGCACAGUUUCAGACGGCUGAAUAUAAGUAAUGCUUGUGCUGUUGCGAAUGCUCACCAUUAAAGCAGAAAUUGUUU
rnacentral:lncRNA from 10 species